GUAUGAUGUAUGUUAUUUUCAGUUAAACCGGAACCAUUCGUAAGGCUUCAGAAGACCUUCCCCCCCCCCAUCUCUUCGUUGUUUAUAAUGGAGCGGCAACUAAAUGAUAGACAGCUUACUUUUAAAGGCUUCUUAAAGCAUGAAAAUCUUGUCUCAAAGGAAGUGCGACUUCAACCACGGAAGAAAUGAGUGCUUGAACAUUUAGCUUUUCUAAUACUUUGAUACUUUUCCUGGCAUUCAGUAGGAUAAUUGGUUCCUGCUCUUACCAGUAUCCUCAGAGAAUCCCGACUAGGUCUGACAUAUGAUAAAGUCCGAAGAUUGAGUUCUCCAUAAGAGGUAGAAUUGAAGAGAACUGUUAAAAGAUCGCACAGUGACUAUAUACCAAGCCGCCUACACAGGAAAGUUGUUAGCGACUCCGACUGCUGUACUGAAGAGCCCGGUUUCAAAUGCUGGAGAAGGCAUGGAUGUAAAUUCUCUCCCUUCAUAGGACGUAACUGUGGCCCACCUAUUAGGUGCCUCCAUAAUAAAGCGACCACCGCUUCCGACCUUGCUAGUGGUCAAGCCCUAUAACAGCUAAUACCCGCCAUUGGAAAUAAGUGUAUCAAGCUUCUACGUUUUAAAAUAGAUCCAGAUCUCUGAUCGCUUCUAUUUUUAAAUUCCACUGGAUGUGGAUUUUCAAAAAGACUUAAUUCAUUGCCCAAAGCACAGGAAGUCUGCCUAAUCGGGAGGAUGUCCGAGCGAGACUUUCACCAAAAUUUCUAUGUAUGUAGCCCCUUCGUCGGAAUUCGUACUUUGGUCAACUUAGCAGUGUUUAGGUAUUUGAAUGCUGAUGUACCAUUUAUUCGUCUUCCGGGUUGAUAGACUUAACCCAUUAUGCCACAGCAAGUGAAAUGUUGGUCUACUUAAGCCCAUAUCGCACAUGCGUUUGUUUCAUACGAACAACUGUUUCGGACAAUUUUUCUCCAUGGUUGACUAUUGAAAGAAAGACGCGCGAUAUUUCUCCUUCCUUUCGCAGAAAAAUUCAAGAAACGAAGAAAGUUGUUAGUUUUCAACAAAUCGGCUAUCAGCUUGUUAGUAAUGGAGAACCAGUUUCCCCUUUACAUGUUGACCCCCAAAGUGAUCUGUGGUGAUUGGCUGUUGUGACAAAACAGAAAUUGUUCCAAACAGUUGUUCUUCCGAAACAAACUGAUAACGGCCUUGUAGAGUGAUCCUUCAGGAAGGAUUUUCUACGAGAAAAUGGAUAUUUUGAAGUAUUCAAGAAUUCCCUUUUAAGUAGACUGUAUAGAUGACUGUUCUACCAAGCUUUGUUUUAUCGCGUCUCUCGGAAGACUUAAAUUCUUAUGAUGUUAUGUGCACGUAACUGAUGUUUCAUACGAAGAUUUACUUGAAUAAGCUUUUAUUGCGGAAAAGUCUUAAAUGAAAUUCAAAGUAAAAUUUUUAUAGGAAUUAAAUUCUGUUACAUAAAUGGUAUUGAAAACCUCGAUAAUGAGUCUUAUUUCUCAUGACGCACGCAUUCACUUUCGGACAUUUGAGGGAAAAUUUCAAGUAUUUGGUUUUAAAAUGACUACCAAAGCAUAAUUUAGAAACGCCUUUACUGAAAGUUCGAAAUUUCAAGACGUUUCUUCAAAGAAUUAUGCAACAGUCGACACUUCAAUGUGACUUUUAAUAUUUAUAUGGAAAAUGGACUGAAUCGAAGACCUGCAGCUGUAACUUUUAUUACUUUCAGCUAUCUUAGAAAAUCCGUAAGUACUUUUGAGCAAAAAUUUCAAGUUUGUUUACAAGUAAAACUUUAAAUUCGGAAAAUAAAAUCCUUAUUCCAAUUUAAAUUUUAAUCUCGGUAAUUAUCAAGUCGUAAGUAUUGAAUAACAUCAGUCUCCCAUUUAGCAUAAAUUUGUAACAAGUCGGAAAUACAACAGCUUCGAAAUUUUAACCACAAAUAAUUACUCCUCCUCAUCAAAAAUGAAUUACUCAUGGAGACAAAUAUAUGUAAACACAAUUUGAUAUGGAACGAAGACUAUUUUACUCCUCGGGCGAAAAGAGACCUUGGUGUUUUUAAUACAAUAUUAGAGCCAUGCAAUUGAUUAUUUAAAUUGGUCAUCGACAUAUUAGACACCUAUUUUAAGUCUGCCAUACAAGAACGCCCUUAAUGAAACACUGUAAUAUUCUUAUGCUAGUUGAAAUUUACUUUAUAAAAUCGUAUGUCGCACAACACUUUUGGUUCGGAAGUUGCUUCUAUAUGUCCGUACUCAUUACAUGGCUAAAAUGUCGAUUAUUUUAAAGAUUUAAAAAAAUACUGCUUAAAUUAUCAAACUUGUUUGACAAAUGGGCAGAAUCUGAGCAGCAUGAGGCAUGCCAAUAAAAACCGUAAUCUUUAUUCUGCUUGUAUUGAUUUGAUGACUGGUUAACUGCGCUAAAUACUGUUAGUUCGACUUGUAUUGUGUUCGAGUACAGGUGAAUAGUCUGACUGCAUUGUUGGUUUUCGGAGCUUUUCCUCCUAUGUAUGUAACGUGACUACGAGCCAAUUUCUCUUUAAAAGUAUUCUACGAAUUCAUACCCCUCUCAGGCAGUUAGUCCUAGCGCUAUAAGCAACCUAGUUUACUUCUGCCAUAUAGGAGGACUUCAAUAGAAUGCGUUAAAUUACUGAUAUCGAUAUCAGCAUUCGUAAAAUCAGCAACAUAAUAAAGCUGCGUUUCCGCAGAACGUGGUAUAGUUUCAGUUAAAAGAAAGACUUAGCAUACUAAACUUCCAUACUUCUCAGUGUUAUAGUUAAUAUAUGCAGGAACUUUAUGAUUUUGCAAACACUUCAGAUAGGACUGCUCGCCGAUCAUCUCCUGAUUUCUCAACAUUGGUAAUUUGGUUCAUGUUAAAUUUUCGAUGAAUGUCUUGUGGUGGAAAUGCAAGUAAGGGUUUUCAGAAGAAUACCAACAUGUAACACUCAUCCAACAGACAUCUUUCUUAACGGAAUACGGCACAAUACACUGGGUCUGUUUACCUAAAGGAAGGGCAGGCUUUUGAAGACAAAUUAACUCGUAUUCAUGUUGCAGACUGAAAGAAAAUAUUCACGAAGUCUGUUAGUUCGCCAAGAUUGAAAGGUGGACAGAACUUCGUGUUAAGCUGUCUUAUUCACUUGGUGACUGGUGGACCAUUUGGACAACUAACUUCGUAAUAAUCGUUUUGGUAAUCAGCAGAGAUGCCAUAAAGUCAGAAAUGACAGAAUUUAAAGGGGAGAGCUUCUAUAUUUCGAGAAGCAAGAAAACAACACUCUGAAACCUAAAAUAAAGCAAAAAUGAGCCUUCUACUAGCAUUAAUUUUGUAGAAUGUUCGAGUAAUCGAACCCGCUUAUCACUGAAAAUGACUUCUCAUGAUAGUCCAGGAGCGGACAUGAUGCUAAACGGGUAAGGUAAUCGGUAAAUUAAAAUUUUUUUUCACUUGUAACAAAUUUCAAGUUAAUUUUGGUAUGAAAACGCAAUUAUUGUGGAUAUAAUAAGACUCCUUUUAGAUUUUAUCACAAGUACUUAAACGAAGUUUGCUUAACACAUAGUUAUCUUUCCCAACGCCCGACGUUUAAUUUCUUAAUUUUUAGAAAGGCAUUAAGAGUUAUUUGAAGAAGCAAUGCUUUUUCUCAGGAGAUUCGCAGUUACAUAACGUACCACUUCUGUUGCCCGUGCUGUUUGUUACGAUAAUGUCAGAUGUCCGGCAUACUGUUUCCCCAAAUGAAAGUACUAAUACAUCGAACUAAAACUACCGUUUUAUUCGCUGGAACUCUGAAAAAUCACUCGUUGGACGUUAGCAGUCAAACAAGGUGUUGGGCAUUAAAUUUGCUUCGAAAUUAAGUUCCCAUAAAAUUUAGCUGAGAUGUUCCAAGCUAAAUAAAUUUUCUUUCUGAAUUUAGUCUCCAGAAAAAGAGUAUAUUCAGAAAAUUCUUAAAACUGUAAUCAAUUAUUCUGCCAAAUUAGUUGCAAUAGAGACCAGAAUAAAAUAUACCAAGAAAAUUACAGACUUCUCUGGUAUAAAAUAGGGAAGUUACUUAUUUUUUUAAUAAAUAGCCGAAUUUUUAAUAAAUUUUAGCUAUUUAAAUUUCACUUUGAUUCACUGGCCUAAUGAAUGCGAUCCCUAAAUAUGGAUAAAACCCGAGAUGAAAACACAAAGAAAAGGCUGGCUGCAGGCGCAUUUUCCUGCUUAUGUAUGUGAACACUAGCUAGUUUUUAUUAGAAGGCCCUCCACGAAAGCACAUAUUCUUAAUAUGCUUUGAUGUAACUAAAUAAUCAAGUGAAGUCCAAGUCUCUAAAUCAUUGUAUUACACAAUGCUCGAUUGGAAUUGAAAGAAUAACAAUUGACUAUGCUAAAAUCUUGAAAUUAUUACGCAUACUUUAAAACAAUUUUUAUAUAGUUCCUAAUUCAUAUAAAUUUGAAGAAACUUGAAAAUCUGAUCAAUUGAACUUGAGUUCAACAGAUAAAUUUCUCAGGAAGGGUCUCUUGACCUUUUAGUUCAAACAAUUCCUAAAGAUUUAGAUUUCGAGAAAUGGAUACAAUCCCUGCAGUAUCGUGGGUAUAAACUUCUAUAGCACAGUUCGCUACUUGGUUUUAAAAUAAAUCUCUCAGGUUGAAGUAAUUGCCAUAACGGAAUUUGGAGUGGGGGGGAAAAAAGUCUCAUAAGUACGUCGAGCGCUAAAGCUGCUGAACGCUGAUAGUUCGGACCGAGUUUCGAAGCCCGCGAAAGGGCUGGCUGCAUGGGUGU
rnacentral:lncRNA from 1 species